GCUUUUGACUACAAAAAUCUUUUGCCUCAUUGAUUCACUUCUUGAAUACAGUGAUUUAAAGGACAUAAGAUGUAUAGUGUUUGUGGAAAGGGUCAUCACAGCCAUUGUCCUUCAAUAUCUUCUCAGUGAGCUGCUUCCAAGGUAUAAUGGCUGGAAGAGUGAAUAUAUAGCAGGAAAUAACUUAGGGUUGCAAACCCAGACACGGAAAACACAGAAUGAAAUUGUGGAAGAAUUUCGUAAGGGCAAGGUGAAUAUAAUCGUUGCAACCUCAAUUCUUGAGGAAGGUUUAGAUGUACCAAGUUGCAACUUGGUAAUUAGA
rnacentral:misc_RNA from 1 species